rnacentral:rRNA from 1 species
UACGUAGGGGGCAAGCGUUGUCCGGAUUUACUGGGCGUAAAGAGCGUGUAGGCGGCCACGCAGGUCCGUUGUGAAAACUGGAGGCUUAACCUCCAGACGUCGACGGAAACCGUGUGGCUAGAGUCCGGAAGGGGAGAGUGGAAUUCCUGGUGUAGCGGUGAAAUGCGCAGAUAUCAGGAAGAACACCAAUGGCGAAGGUAGCUCUCUGGGACGGUACUGACGCUGAGACGCGAAAGCGUGGGGAGCGAACAGG